rnacentral:sRNA from 1 species
ACGAUCGAUAAAACAGGUAUCGAUCGUUGCUAUCGAUCGUUUAUGGUGGUUAAUGGCCUGCGAAAAGGCAGCUGAAUCUCUUCAUCAUGCAGAACGGAAUUGCACACAACGGACUGAUACUUCUCUGGCGGAUGAGAGAGGGGAAGCAUUUAUGUCCGGGAAAAACCACUUUAUCUGACCAUGCUGUUUUGUACCUGCCGGUAUCCACUUUUGUGGGUACCGGCUUUUUUAUUCACC